UUCUGUAACAAACAACCCAGUUUUGUCAGCUUGUUUUUCUUGACCACCUUUCCAAGAAAUCUUUAUUUUCAUUCAUUUGUGCAUAAUUAACUUUGUCAAAUAUUUGUUUUCACAUCUUCGUUUUCACAUCCUGCAUCAUAUGGUAUUAACCUUAUUUUAUCUGUGACCUAUAUCACCAGCAGGAGAAACGACCAUUAUGACAAACUUCCUUUUUACAACUUGUCUUUUCACCUGUAAUCAUCUAACAUCUAAAUAAAAAAAAAUAAAAAAAUAAAAAAAUGUAUUAGGAACAUGUUUUGACUGCGAUAGAGCAUCCAAAAUAAUAUGCAAGAUUCAACCAGCUUUCAGUGCUAGCCUGUUCAGGGACCACUCUCGGCACUGCUGCUGCAACACACUUUGGAAAGAGGAAGUGUUGAGGGCUUUUGAGCCAAAGGAAAAAAGAGUUAUUACUUCCCUGGAAGGGCCUUGCUAUCCGAGCAACAAAAGCUCUUAUUUUCCCACCACUGCUUGCGGACAAGCACCCAUUCUGUCACGGAACAGGCUGCCCUGAACAGAGUCCUGCCCUGUCCAAGCUCCACCUCGGGCUCGAUCCUCCUCACCUCGAUGGCACCGUGAGUGAGGCCUAGUAGAAGCAAACCGUCCCUCACGCACUUCCAUCAGGUAAAAAACCUACAGAUGCUGAUGCACAGGCACACAGCCAGCCAAACACCUGAAACGAUCCAGCACCAGGACUGCCAGGCUGCUGCUGCUCCUCUGAUCCCAGCAGAUGGAAACCAACUUCCAAAGGAAACCAGAGCCAGACCAUAGUGUACUGAACCUCCAAGGCAUGACAGCAUCCAGAAGCCCCAUGCAGAAGCUCUGCAGGUCACCAUUUAGACGAGUAGAAGAGGAAGACCUCUGCGCACACUGGCAUUACCAAAUGCAGAUGGUUCUCAGAUACCUGCUCCCCUACACAGCGGCUGUGGGUUGUAGAGGACAGCAGAAGCCUCCACGUUCCUUGCUCGAGUAAACGUGUGAACUCCAACGUAGAGUGAAGCAGAUUCCGAGAAUCAGUGGAUGGCCUGAUUAAAAAAAAAAUUAAUGAUGUAGCAUUAGUGAUGAGCUCUUGAUUAUCCUAAACAUCCUUCCCAGAGUAGGAUUGUAGCAUCUCCACUCCAAAAGUGGGAAAAAAAGGCUUGGAAACUAAGGUCCUUUUUUUUUUUUUCUUCUCCUGCUCUUCUCCCUUCCCAGCAAAGUGUUAGAAUAGAGCAGGACUCUUAUCAUUUUGGUGCAUAUCUAUGCAUUUUUGAAGAAGACUCUGAAUGGUCUGCAAGUCCCAUACCUCAGUGGGAUGGAAGAUGUCUACUUAAUGCACUGUCUGAUGGAGUAGACGCUUCCAAAGAAGGGGGAUUCUGGCCAUCAGAGAUGGCAGGGAAGUGUACCCAGAUAUGGUGGGAUAGAUGGCAGGUCAGCAACAAAAGGAGAGGGAGAGAGGCAUGGUAACUGAUGUCUGGUAUGGUCUUGGCAAUUUGCCCUCAUUCAGUCUGUAAUAUAACUACAGUAAUGAGAAGAUGGCUGCAUGAGAAAGGACUUUCUUUCUCAGAGAUGUGUCUCCUCACCCUUUCCCUGGGUUUUCCAAGCUACAGAAAACUAACUGAAAUGGUAUCUUUGUUGGCAACACAGGAUUUACAAUGUUACUGAUAGUACUGCAGAGACAAGGAUAUUUUGGGGCACAUUUUACUUUAAAUUUAAUUUCAUCAUGGUAAAGGCUACUAUCAAAAUUAACAGUACUGUGGAACCAGAUAUAAUGAUAAACUAGAAUGGCAAAUGUAAUUUUAAAAUAUAUUUGAAAAAUGAUAAUUCUCUCUUCAAAACAGACUGAACAGUCUGCAUGGUGUCAUGUAUAAGCAUUGGGAAGAGAAUCUGAAAUAUGGUUAUUUUUCAAUACCAUCCAUCCGGUGCUUAAGAAUGCCUGAAAUAAAUUUAUGUAUGAAGAAGAUGAAAACUUCACAUCUGUAUGCACAGAAGGUGGAAUGGGGAGAAAUCAGGACUAGAGUGUUCAAUUUUGAUUCAACAUGAUACAACUUACACACCUAGAAAUGCUAAGAGCAAGAGAAAGCAAAGCUAUGGACCAAAAAAACUACUGAAUGAAGAGGGAAUCAUAGAAUCAUUAAGGUUGGAAAAGACCGCCAAGAUAUAACCAUACCCCUACCACCAUUACCAAUGACAAUCAUGUCCCUAAGCACCAGGUCCAACCUUUUAAACACCCCCAGGGACGGUGACUCCCCACCUCCCUGGACAACCCAUUCCAAUACCAGACUACUCUUU